rnacentral:rRNA from 1 species
UGAACGCUGGCGGCGUGCCUAAUACAUGCAAGUCGAGCGAACAGAUAAGGAGCUUGCUCCUUUGAAGUUAGCGGCGGACGGGUGAGUAACACGUGGGUAACCUACCUAUAAGACUGGGAUAACUUCGGGAAACCGGAGCUAAUACCGGAUAACAUUUAGAACCGCAUGGUUCUAAAGUGAAAGAUGGUUUUGCUAUCACUUAUAGAUGGACCCGCGCCGUAUUAGCUAGUUGGUGAGGUAACGGCUUACCAAGGCGACGAUACGUAGCCGACCUGAGAGGGUGAUCGGCCACACUGGAACUGAGACACGGUCCAGACUCCUACGGGAGGCAGCAGUAGGGAAUCUUCCGCAAUGGGCGAAAGCCUGACGGAGCAACGCCGCGUGAGUGAUGAAGGGUUUCGGCUCGUAAAACUCUGUUAUUAGGGAAGAACAAAUGUGUAAGUAACUGUGCACAUCUUGACGGUACCUAAUCAGAGAGCCACGGCUAACUACGUGCCAGCAGCCGCGGUAAUACGUAGGUGGCAA